GGAUGUGAGGGUGAUCUGGCUGCGACAUCUGUCACCCCAUUGAUCGCCAGGGUUGAUUCGGCUGAUCUGGCUGGCUAGGCGGGUGUCCCCUUCCUCCCUCACCGCUCCAUGUGCGUCCCUCCCGAAGCUGCGCGCCUUCCCCAAUAGAGGAGGACCGGUCUUCGGUCAAGGGUAUACGAGUAGCUGCGCUCCCCUGCUAGAACCUCCAAACAAGCUCUCAAGGUCCAAAAUCAUGGGAGGAUAGAUAUUUUAAUUUUCAAUUGCUUUUCUGCCAUAACUUAGCUGGAGAAGUGAGCACCAAUUUCAUC
rnacentral:snRNA from 1 species